rnacentral:lncRNA from 1 species
CAAUAUAAUUUCUCUUUUAAACUCAACCCAAUUUAGCCCCUACCCAACCUCAAACCGCUUCGACCCGAUCCAACCCAAUAGCUAAACCCAUUUCCCCACCUAAAAACCCUACCACAAAUAUAGGGAUAGAUACACAAGAGAUAAAUACAACGCCUAUACACACAAAAUGGAGGCUUGAAGAAAACUGCGCAGCUUUUGGUUUUCUUCACCAUCGGAGCUCAUUGAAACACAAACAAAAAGCUCCAUUAAACAUUUCAAACUUUACCCCAUAAAUAACAUUGUCUUCUCCUAAAGAUAUAACUUAAAGCUACUGCAAAAACAGCUCAAAAACCAUUCCUGGAACAACCCCAAAACGCAACCAAAAACAACCCUCAAAUUCGACCAAAAUCAUUCAAAACCAGCCCUAUUUUCCAACCUAAAACCCAGCAAAAUAAGCCACAAAAUAGCCUUGAAACUCCAUGGAAACAGGCGAAACAGAGCUUAAGCUCAGCUGUAAACCAGUCCAAGAACCAACUCCAAUCAGAUCUUAAAUCACCACAAAGAGAGUCGAGGUCGUCUUUCGAGUGUUCAUGUCGCAGAUCUUGUUGGAGCUAUUUAUUGGAGUUGUAAUCUUUGGAAUUCAUAUAUUUUGUUGAUGUCGGAAGCUUCGUGCUUUCAUCUACUGAAGAAUUUUAUUUACUGAAUAUUAAGGUUUAUUCUUACCUUUGCUAUAUGAAUUCCUUAGUCUUCUCUUGUUUAAAUUUUCGUUUGCCAUCUGACCUUUUCCAUGUGUUUAUUUUGGUCUGUUAUUGGAUCUUUAAUGUGAAUAUUUCAAAUACUUUGUUGUGAAUUUAAUUCUUUUAGAACUUGGACAACAAUAGGUUUUGGGUGUAGCUAGAAUCAAAGUCUUGAUUUUUGGAUUGUGUUAAAUAGCUAAUGCACUGUUAAUGGAUUUGUGGCUGGUAAAUAUACUAGCCAUUUCAUUUUGAGGUAGAGAAUCGAUCUGUUGGGUCUAAAAUUAAAGCAAUUUGAAUUUUGUUAAGGAGAACUGGAAUUGUAUCUACUGACAGAAUCUAAAAAUAGGAGUGAGCAUAGGGAAAAAUGGUUUGGCAUGUGAGGUUAGUUUGAAUUUAUAAAGAUCUGAGCCAGGAUAAGUAACACCUAUGAGUCCAACAUAUUCUUCUCCAUUCUUGUGAUGAAUUCUUCCCAAAGGAUCGAAUCAUAUUUCUGUCUACAAUAGUUUUAAUAACUCUUAAAUCUUUACAACAAUAUUAAAGAUUAGGAAAAUAGUGAAUACUUCCCAAAGGAUCGAGUCAUAUUUCUGUCUACAAUAAUUUUAUUAACUCUUAGAUCUUUACAACAAUAUUAAAGAUUAGGAAAAUAAAUAAACACGUAAUUGCAUUAGAUGCGUACUUUAUAUUAAUUUUUAUAAAUUUUGGUGCACAUUUAUGUGACCCAAAUCCAAAUUUCAGCGAAGCUGAAAUGUGUCAAAAACCACGGGUGCAUAUAUGUGACGUGGUUCGAUAUAUGUUUUAA